rnacentral:rRNA from 1 species
AACGAACGCUGGCGGCAUGCCUAACACAUGCAAGUCGAACGAGACCUUCGGGUCUAGUGGCGCACGGGUGCGUAACGCGUGGGAACCUGCCCUUAGGUUCGGAAUAAUUCCCCGAAAGGGGUGCUAAUACCGGAUAAUGUCUUCGGACCAAAGAUUUAUCGCCUUUGGAUGGGCCCGCGUUGGAUUAGCUAGUUGGUAGGGUAAAAGCCUACCAAGGCGACGAUCCAUAGCUGGUCUGAGAGGAUGAUCAGCCACACUGGGACUGAGACACGGCCCAGACUCCUACGGGAGGCAGCAGUGGGGAAUAUUGGACAAUGGGCGAAAGCCUGAUCCAGCAAUGACGCGUGAGUGAUGAAGGCCUUAGGGUUGUAAAGCUCUUUUACCCGGGAUGAUAAUGACAGUACCGGGAGAAUAAGCUCCGGCUAACUCCGUG